rnacentral:snRNA from 1 species
AUACUCUAGUUUCUCUUCAGAUCGUAUAAAUCUUUCGCCUUUUACUAAAGAUUUCCGUGGAGAGGAACAAUUCUGAGUUUUUUAACCAAUUUUUUGAAGCCUUGCUUUGGCAGGGCU